rnacentral:rRNA from 1 species
GAGACUCUGUGCGCGUGCAUAUCAAUAAGCGGAGGAAAAGAAACUAACAAGGAUUCCCCUAGUAACGGCGAGUGAAGCGGGAAGAGCUCAAAUUUGAAAUCUUAAAGGGUUUCCCUUUACGAAUUGUAGUUUAAAGAAGUGUUUUCUGUUGGAGUUUCGGUAAAAGUUCUUUGGAAUAGGACAUCAUAGAGGGUGAGAAUCCCGUAUUUGACCGUUACCUUCCAGCUGUGUGAUACACUUUCAAAGAGUCGGAUUGUUUGGGAAUGCAGUCCAAGAUGGGUGGUAAAUUUCAUCUAAAGCUAAAUAUUGGCGAGAGACCGAUAGCGAAUAAGUACCGUGAGGGAAAGAUGAAAAGAACUUUGAAAAGAGAGUUAAACAGUACGUGAAAUUGUCAAAAGGGAAGCGUUUGACACCAGUGUUGUUUAGUUGAAAAUCAAUUCAAUAGUUUUUGAUUCUAAGUAGUAUUGACUUCAUCAGCUUGCUGCUUUCUUCUCAGAAAUUAUUGAAUGCACUUUUCAGUUAACAAGUCAACAUCAAUUUCUUUUGUUGUAAAAGGGUAAGAGGAAGGUGGCUUGCGCUUCGGCUCAAGUGUUUAUAGCCUUUUAUCUCUGCAAUCGGAGAGAUUGAGGUCUGCAGCGUAGAUCCUUCGGGGUUAGAUACAUUGGUGCUAAGCUAUAGCCUUGUAUAGACAACUUGUUGACUAUGCUCAGUCAUGUAGCUUACUCGCUGAUGCUAUUUUACCUACGCUUAGGAUGUUGACAGCAGUAUAGACUGU